rnacentral:rRNA from 1 species
GACGAACGCUGGCGGCGUGCUUAACACAUGCAAGUCGAACGGAAAGGCCCUGCUUUUGUGGGGUGCUCGAGUGGCGAACGGGUGAGUAACACGUGAGUAACCUGCCCUUGACUUUGGGAUAACUUCAGGAAACUGGGGCUAAUACCGGAUAGGUGCUCCUGCUGCAUGGUGGGGGUUGGAAAGUUUCGGCGGUUGGGGAUGGACUCGCGGCUUAUCAGCUUGUUGGUGGGGUAGUGGCUUACCAAGGCUUUGACGGGUAGCCGGCCUGAGAGGGUGACCGGCCACAUUGGGACUGAGAUACGGCCCAGACUCCUACGGGAGGCAGCAGUGGGGAAUACUGCACAAUGGGCGGAAGCCUGAUGCAGCAACGCCGCGUGCGGGAUGACGGCCUUCGGGUUGUAAACCGCUUUCGCCUGUGACGAAGCGUGAGUGACGGUAAUGGGUAAAGAAGCACCGGCUAACUACGUGCCAGCAGCCGCGGUGAUACGUAGGGUGCGAGCGUUGUCCGGAUUUAUUGGGCGUAAAGGGCUCGUAGGUGGUUGAUCGCGCCGGAAGUGUAAUCUUGGGGCUUAACCCUGAGCGUGCUUUCGAUACGGGUUGACUUGAGGAAGGUAGGGGAGAAUGGAAUUCCUGGUGGAGCGGUGGAAUGCGCAGAUAUCAGGAGGAACACCAGUGGCGAAGGCGGUUCUCUGGGCCUUUCCUGACGCUGAGGAGCGAAAGCGUGGGGAGCGAACAGGCUUAGAUACCCUGGUAGUCCACGCUGUAAACGGUGGGUACUAGGUGUGGGGUCCAUUCCACGGGCUCCGUGUCGUAGCUAACGCUUUAAGUACCCCGCCUGGGGAGUACGGCCGCAAGGCUAAAACUCAAAGGAAUUGACGGGGCCCCGCACAAGCGGCGGAGCAUGCGGAUUAAUUCGAUGCAACGCGUAGAACCUUACCUGGGUUUGACAUGGAUCGGGAGUGCUCAGAGAUGGGUGUGCCUCUUUUGGGGUCGGUUCACAGGUGGUGCAUGGCUGUCGUCAGCUCGUGUCGUGAGAUGUUGGGUUAAGUCCCGCAACGAGCGCAACCCUUGUUCACUGUUGCCAGCACGUUAUGGUGGGGACUCAGUGGAGACCGCCGGGGUCAACUCGGAGGAAGGUGGGGAUGACGUCAAGUCAUCAUGCCCCUUAUGUCCAGGGCUUCACGCAUGCUACAAUGGCUGGUACAGAGAGUGGCGAGCCUGUGAGGGUGAGCGAAUCUCGGAAAGUCGGUCUCAGUUCGGAUUGGGGUCUGCAACUCGACCUCAUGAAGUCGGAGUCGCUAGUAAUCGCAGAUCAGCAACGCUGCGGUGAAUACGUUCCCGGGGCU